rnacentral:rRNA from 1 species
GAUGAACGCUGGCGGCGUGCAUAACACAUGCAAGUCGAACGAUGAAACUUAGUAGACGUGUUCUGCAAGACACUAAGCGGAUUAGUGGCGAACGGAGGAGUAACGCGUGGGUAACCUGCCAUACACAAGGGAAUAGCGUUUGUACACGAAGAAUAAUACCCUAGAAAAGUAUAAAAGCACAUGCUAGAAUGGUCAAAGUGCUAGCGGUGUAAGAUGGACUUGCGGCUGAUUAGCUAGUUGGGGAGAGAAAAGCUCACCAAGGCAACGAUCAGUAGCCGGAGUGUGACCGUCUACGGUCGCAUUGGGACUGAGACACGGCCCCGACUCCUACCGGAGGCAGCAGUGAGGAAUCUUGCACCGUGGGGGAAAUCCUGAUACGCCGCGGCCGCGUGAUUUAGCAGGCCUUCGGGUUGUACAAACCUUUUGUAUAGGACGAAAAUGACAGUACUAUACGAAUAAGGUCCGGCUAAUUACGUG